GUGCGGGACCGGGCCCCUCUGGCGGCGGCUUCACCUGAAGCCCCGUGAUGUCGGACCGCAUCG
rfam:Sphingomonas sp. WG contig_31, whole genome shotgun sequence.